UGGGAAAACACUCAGUGGUGUAGACCGCCCA
rnacentral:piRNA from 1 species